UUAUUUUCCCAGCUUCAAUAGCUAAAAAUCUGCUACAACUCAAAACACUGGAUAUAAGCAGUUCUGGGGUGGAGGAAAUUGUUCAGAAUCUGAACUGGGUAGAAACAAAUAUGGAGAACCAACCUAUGGUCAAAGUUCUGCAGCCACAUUUCUCCUUUAGAAAGCUAGACCAAGCUCUUGGGUCUCUUGAAGAACUUCUUGUUUGGCACUGUGACAGCUUGAUCACUUUAGCACCAUCCUCUGCUUCUUUUCAAAAUCUGACGCGUUUGACUGUAUGGAAAUGCAAUGGAUUAGUUAGUUUGGUAACAUCUUCAACAGCAAAAAGUCUGGUACAACUCACAAAAAUGAGUAUAGGAGCAUGUGACAGAUUGAAAGAAAUAGUUGCAAAUGAGGGAAAUGAAUCGAAAGAGGAUAUCAUCUUUAGCAAAUUAGGAAAACUGGGACUUAGAUAUUUGCCAAGCCUCGUCAGUU
rnacentral:misc_RNA from 1 species